UACAGAGGGGGCGAGCGUUGUUCGGAAUUACUGGGCGUAAAGGGCGCGUAGGCGGCCUGCUAAGUCGGACGUGAAAUCCCUCGGCUCAACCGGGGAACUGCGUCCGAUACUGGUUGGCUUGAAUUCGGGAGAGGGAUGCGGAAUUCCAGGUGUAGCGGUGAAAUGCGUAGAUAUCUGGAGGAACACCAAUGGCGAAAGCAGCAUUUCGUUGGGACGGACU
rnacentral:rRNA from 1 species